UCAAAACAUUGGUUCCCGUACAAUCACUGAAGUUAAGCAAUGUCGAGCCUGUUCAGCACCUUAAUGAGUGACCACUUGGGAAGACCAGGGGCU